GCUCAGUUGGUUGAACGUCCGACUUCAGCUCAGAUCAUGAUCCCAGGGUUCGUGGGUUUGAGCCCCACAUUGGGCU
rnacentral:tRNA from 1 species